rnacentral:rRNA from 1 species
AGCGAACGCUGGCGGCAGGCCUAACACAUGCAAGUCGAGCGCCGUAGCAAUACGGAGCGGCAGACGGGAGAGUAACACGUGGGAACGUACCCUUUGGUUCGGAACAACCCAGGGAAACUUGGGCUAAUACCGGAUAAGCCCUUACGGGGAAAGAUUCAUCGCCGAAGGAUCGGCCCGCGUCUGAUUAGCUAGUUGGUGGGGUAAUGGCCCACCAAGGCGACGAUCAGUAGCUGGUCUGAGAGGAUGAUCAGCCUCACUGGGACUGAGACACGGCCCAGACCGCUACGGGAGGCAGCAGUGGGGAAUAUUGGACAAUGGGCGCAAGCCUGAUCCAGCCAUGCCGCGUGGGUGAUGAAGGCCCUAGGGUUGUAAAGCCCUUUCGGCGGGGAAGAUAAUGACGGUACCCGCAGAAGAAGCCCCGGCUAACUUCGUGCCAGCCGCCGCGGUAAAAC